GUGUCAGCAGCCGCGGUAAUACGGAGGAUGCAAGCGUUAUCCGGAUUCAUUGGGUUUAAAGGGUGCGUAGGCGGCUUUUUAAGUCAGUGGUGAAAUCCUGCCGCUUAACGGUAGAAUUGCCAUUGAUACUGACAAGCUUGAGUCCAGUUGAGGUAAGCGGAAUGUGUAGUGUAGCGGUGAAAUGCUUAGAUAUUACACAGAACACCAAUUGCGAAGGCAGCUUACUAAACUGGCACUGACGCUGAUGCACGAAAGCGUGGGGAGCGAACAGGAUUAGAUACCCUGGUAGUCCACGCCGUAAACGAUGUUCACUCGCUGUUUGCGAUACACAGCAAGCGGCCAAGCGAAAGCAUUAAGUGAACCACCUGGGGAGUACGAUCGCAAGGUUGAA
rnacentral:rRNA from 1 species